AUUGAACGCUGGCGGCAGGCUUAACACAUGCAAGUCGAGCGAGCGGCGGACGGGUGAGUAAUGUCUGGGAAACUGCCUGAUGGAGGGGGAUAACUACUGGAAACGGUAGAUAAUACCGCAUACCAUCAGAUGUGUCCAGAUGGGAUUAGCUAGUAGGUGGGGUAAUGGCUCACCUAGGCGACGAUCCCUAGCUGGUCUGAGAGGAUGACCGGCCACACUGGAACUGAAACACGGCCCAAACUCCUACGGGGGGAACCGGUGGGGAAUAUUGCAAAAUGGGCGCAAGCCUGACGAGGCCAUGCCGCGGGGGUGAAGAAGGCCUCCGGGUUGUAAAGCACUUUCAGCGAGGAGGCGUUACUCGAAGAAAAAGCACCGGCUAACUCCGUGCCAGCAGCCGCGGUAAUAC
rnacentral:rRNA from 1 species